rnacentral:rRNA from 1 species
UACGUAGGUGGCAAGCGUUGUCCGGAUUUAUUGGGUUUAAAGGGUGCGUAGGCGGCCCUGUAAGUCAGUGCUGAAAUAUCCCGGCUUAACCGGGAGGGUGGCAUUGAUACUGCGGGGCUAGAGUACAGAUGAGGUAGGCGGAAUUGAGCGGUGUAGCGGUGAAAUGCUUAGAUAUCGUCAAGAACACCUAUAGCGAAGGCAGCUUACUAGGCUGUAACUGACGCGAGGCACGAAAGUGUGGGGAUCAAACAGG